ACAAUAAUUUUGUAAUACUUCAAUCCCCUUUACUGGUACAGUCACUAACAGUCUCAGUUACUAAUCUAAACAACCAAUAAUAAAAGAGUACUAAGAAUAAAGAGUUAAAUAUAAAAUGGUUAUCCUAUAGAUAUAUUAUUCCCGUCUGAAUGAAAAUAUUAUUUCUAAAUCCUUUACUCAGAGUUAAGAAUAAUGAAGAUUAUAUUUCAUUCGUUUAGGAUGCGACAAUUUAUAUAUAGCAGUUUGGCCUAUAUUCAUUUGUAUCAGACUUUCUAUAUGUACUAACAACCAAAAAGUAUCUAAAUGAUAGUAUGGUGAAACCAAUUAAACGGACACAAUUACCAGCUCCGAAUUAAAAGCUGAAAACAUGCAAACACAGAUUCAGUUCAUAUGAGUUUCUCUCCUCUUUUGUUCAGAUCAGAGUGAGUGAGUAAGUAUGGUUUAACGCCGCUUUUAGCAGUAUUCAAGCAACAUCACGGCGGUGGACACCAGAAAUGGUCUUCACACAUUGUACCAGUGUGGAGAAUAGAACCCGGGUCUUGGCGUGAAGAGCGAACACUUUAACCAAUAGGUUACCCAACCGCCAGAUCAGAUCAGAGUCCAUGAAUGAAGACACAUUUGGAAUUUGAAAUACGGGAAUGUAUUCAUUUUAUAUCAGACUUUGCAUUUGUAGUUGCAACUCAAAAUUAUCAUCUGUACAACCAGGCACACUUAUGUACUCUGAAGUGUGAAUUAAUUUACGAAAUAAUUUGUCAUCUCUAAUUUAAGAAAGCAUGCAGACAUAGACUCGGCUGAUACAAUUCAUACCUGUUUUGAUAACUGUUUUGUUUAACUACCUUUUUCAGAGUCUGUCCAGAGUACCAUAAAUGACUGGACUAUUGGAACAACGACUGCACUGCUGGUUUUGGUCUUCGGAAUUAUUGUGACAGGGUGCAUUGUUCUCUUCAAGAGAGUCUCCGCAAAGAGAGAGGAAUCCCACCAGAUGGCAGACAUCUGUCCACAACGUGAUCCAAACAGACAGGGCAGCUCAUCUAGGAGGUUCCGAAACUCAGAACAUAUCUACAGUGAUGUCAACGAAGGCGAAAUGGGACCAGUCAUCGUUUUCCUAUAAGUUUACAUAACAAAUGUCAGACCUAAUUUAAUUGUCUGUCGAUAUAUUUGCAGACGUUGCAGAGCCAUAUUCCAAGUGAUCAACACGUACAUUUUUCACUGCUACGUAUCCAUUUCACGUUCAAAGGAAUAUGAUACGGAUAGUCAAGCCUUGUUAUUCUCUGGUGUUCACGUUCUAUGUAUUAUCAUUAACCACAGUGUGCCAUAACUUCAGUCUUUGGUGUCUACAAAUCACAACGUUUGAGGCACAUUCAAAUGUGUCGUGUCUACGAAGAUUUCAAAGUGCGUCUUGCUCAAGUGUAGUUUGGUCACAGGCUGCAUCAUGAAAUGCCUUAUGUUGGCCCGAUGUAACACGCUAACUCGGUUAGCAUAUAUUGUGAUAAGAGACUAAUCUUUGUCCUAUGGUCUCGUUUUUUAUACAGUUGCAGUUUUUUGUUCUGAUAAUAAAAAUGCUUUUUCGUAUUUUUGUUCCAAGCAUAAUGGAUCCGUUAACAUUGGCUUUGAUAAUUUGUAUAAUUGGUGCUUGAAAAGAUUUAUCAAUGCGUAUCCAUGCUAAAGCAUUAGUGUCUACCUCCACAUUAUGCAGUCACGCCUUCUGAGUGGUGAAUCCUACUGUUUGUUUGUGUGUUUGGGUUUUGCUUAGCGCCGCACUCAACAAUUCCCGCUGGAUCUCACCAUCUGUAAAUAAUCUCGACACGAAAACAAUGACAGGACACAUGAGCAUGGAUCAACGCAAAUAGGAUACAAUGACAUGCAUUAACAGGUCAGUGAACCUGACCACUCGAUCCUCAUAGCUGCCUCGUAUGACAAGCAUGGGUUGCUGAAGACCCAUAGGUUCCAAUACUCCAUUGAUACGGGUCUUGUGCCAAUAUCACGACGUUUCUUUUUGUCUUUAAGUAUAUAUUGUCCUCUACAUACCAACUAAUCUGUUAUGCAGAUCGGCGAUUGUUGAGACGAGGUAAAACCAACCUGGGCCUCCUUUCACGAUGCAGUAAGGUGAUCGUAAGUCACUGAGGUAAACUUAAUGCAAUGUUAAAGAAUGGGAAUUAAGGUUAACCUUAGUAAAGGUUGUUUCGUGAAAGGAGCCCCUGGUAGGUAACACCUUACCAGAUUAACUAUAUGUAUAUUAUAAAUAUAUUUACUAUAAUAUUUCCUUAAAUAUACCUACAGUAUGUUUUUUUACUAUUUGUAGAAUUGUAUUAAUAUUGUGUAACACUGUAACUUCUGGUAUAGUUGAGAGGUGUUCAACUACAUGUAGGUUUAUUUUAUAGACAUAAUGAGUACUUUAAACGUGUACAUAUUUAUUACAUUCCAUUUUAUAUAUUUCCUAGUGUUCUUUCAGGCUGUUUCACACAUAGAUCUAUAAUAAACCAUUCGGCCUCACAA